rnacentral:rRNA from 1 species
AGCGUAGACGGCUGUGUAAGUCUGAAGUGAAAGCCCGGGGCUCAACCCCGGGACUGCUUUGGAAACUAUGCAGCUAGAGUGUCGGAGAGGUAAGUGGAAUUCCCAGUGUAGCGGUGAAAUGCGUAGAUAUUGGGAGGAACACCAGUGGCGAAGGCGGCUUACUGGACGAUGACUGACGUUGAGGCUCGAAAGCGUGGGAGCAAACA